UAACUAUUCCCUCUGUCCAACAAAGGAUGUCUCAACUUUGACCAAAUUUAAAUACAAUUAUACACUAAGUCAUGUCUGGAUACAUCCAAAUUUUGACAAACUUGAGACAUCUUUUGUUGGACGGAGGAAGUAGAAG
rfam:Brachypodium distachyon strain Bd21 chromosome 1, whole genome shotgun sequence.